CAGCAGCCGCGGGAAUACGAAGGGGGCUAGCGUUGCUCGGAAUGACUGGGCGUAAAGGGCGCGUAGGCGGCGGAUCAAGUCAGGCGUGAAAGCCCCGGGCUCAACCUGGGAAUUGCGCUUGGGACUGGUCUGCUUGAGUUCGGGAGAGGUGAGUGGAAUUCCCAGUGUAGAGGUGAAAUUCGUAGAUAUUGGGAAGAACACCGGUGGCGAAGGCGGCUCACUGGACCGACACUGACGCUGAGGCGCGAAAGCGUGGGGAGCAAACAGGAUUAGAUACCCCGGUAGUCCCUGUCUCUUAUAC
rnacentral:rRNA from 1 species